UGCUCAGCCGUUGGUCAGUGGCACAGUGGGCCCCUUCCUCUUCCCCUCUUGUAUAUAAAAGGAGCUCGAAUUCCGACCGAAAGCUGACUUUUUGAGAUGCUAGUCUGCCACCUUCUCAGUCUGCUAGUUUUCUGAUUGCAAGUCAUUACUCCUUGUCCCAACAACUAGUCUGUAGAUUUAUUGGCCUGUCUCGCAUGGAGCAGAAAGAGGUUGGGCUUGGUAGCAAAUGGAUUCACACCCUGUCAGUUAAGCUGUGUUGCAGAUACUGAACCCCCACCAGGUGGGAGAAUUUAAUUAUAUUACAGCUUGUGCUGCACACAAGUACUUAGACCCCUGACCACUUGAAUCCAGUAGGUUCACUAUAUUGACGCCCACUUACUUCACGACCAACCAAUCAGAAGAGUGUGCAUGAACUGACCACGUCCUCUCUGAGCCCUUACUAUAAAACCCCCUCACUACCUCUUCAGGUUAAGACAGUUUUGAGGGGUUAGACUGCUGUGGGUCCUUUUGCCUGGCAAAGCUGUAAAGCUAUUUCCUACUUCACUCUAAACUCAGUCUCCAAAAUCAGUUCAGUGUCGGGGUACAGAUGCUGGAUUCGGCUUCAGUAGGGGAACUCAGUUUUAGGGGGACCCAAUUUCAUCACCUCAACUUCUCCAAACCUGGACUUUUCUCUAGAGCCUUCUAUAGCCAAAAACUUUCUCAAGGUCUGCCUAUUGACCAGACUCUUCUCUGCUAAGGAUAAAACACCUCAGCCUGUUGGACACAACCACCUCCUUCAACAUGACCACAGCCUCCUGUGACAGACUCGGUGGACAGGCAUUUUAGGUCUUGGUCCCACUUAACUGACAGGGAAGAAGCCUAAGCUGCAUGGUCAGAGUCUGUAUGUGUGCCACACUAUUGAUGGCGCUUGGGGAAAUGGAGGCUUCAGAACUCAGGUGUCCGACUGAAGAAAUCGCAACUUCAAAAGAGAGCGCAACUUGGAAAAAUAAUUCUCCACAGGCGCUGACCGCCAUAUUGCCCAGCAGCGGCCCUUAUGGGCAGAAUCUGGGUUCCUGGCGGUUCGUCAUGUGACGGGCGGCUGUUGGUGGCCGUUGGUGGCUCUCAGGUGGUUUGGAGUUUUGGAGUGUUCUCUGCCGAGUGUUUGCUGCUGAGGCGCUGUGGCACUGCCAGGCGACCUGAUUCGGAAGGUAGACUUUGGAAGCCUAUUGUUUCAGCCGCAUCGUGAGAAGACCCGAGGGAGCCAUGUAGAAGAGAUUGUGAAGAAGAAUUGCAAAGACAUGAACCAGCCUGCAAGUAAUUCUCCCCCAGAGGCUCCACUUAAAAGCCCAGGGUUGGAAGGACUGGAAAGUGUAGGAAGGCUCCUAUUUGGAGGCAUCCAGAAGUUUGGAGAUACAGCUAUUCUACUCUGUACGAUCAUGUCAUUGAUGUACAUGCAUAGUGACUGUACUUUCAUGAAUCAGUGUAAUUGUGAGUUUGUGUGUGUGUUUAUAUUAAAGAGUAUUUGUAUAUUCAA